GCCGAGCACUCCUACGGGAGGCAGCAGUGGGGAAUAUUGCACAAUGGGCGCAAGCCUGAUGCAGCCAUGCCGCGUGUAUGAAGAAGGCCUUCGGGUUGUAAAGUACUUUCAGCAGUGAGGAAGGUGGAUAUGUUAAUAGCAUAUUCAUUUGACGUUAGCUGCAGAAGAAGCACCGGCUAACUCCGUGCCAGCAGCCGCGGUAAUACGGAGGGUGCGAGCGUUAAUCGGAAUUACUGGGCGUAAAAGCGCAUGCAGGUGGUUUGUUAAGUCAGAUGUGAAAGCCCGGGGCUCAACCUCGGGAAUUGCAUUUGAAAACUGGCAAACUAGAGUACUGUAGAGGGGGGUAGAAUUUCAGGUGUAGCGGUGAAAUGCGUAGAGAUCUGAAGGAAUACCGGUGGCGAAGGCGGCCCCCUGGACAGAUACUGACACUCAGAUGCGAAAGCGUGGGGAGCAAACAGGAUUAGAUACCCUGGUAG
rnacentral:rRNA from 1 species